rnacentral:rRNA from 1 species
CCCCUAGAUGUUCUGGGCCGCACGCGCGCUACACUGAACAGUUCAACAAGUCUUAACCUUGGCCGAUAGGCCUGGGUAAUCUUUGAACGCUGUUCGUGAUUGGGAUAGACCUUUGCAAUUAUGGGUCUUCAACGAGGAAUUCCUAGUAAACGCAAGUCAUCAGCUUGCAUUGAUUACGUCCCUGCCCUUUGUACACACCGCCCGUCGCACCUACCGAUUGAAUGGUCCGGUGAAAUCUCGGGACGGCGGCUUGGUCGCUUGCGUCCGACUGCUGAAACUUGAUUAAACCAUAUCAUUUAGAGGAAGGUGAAGUCGUAACA